rnacentral:rRNA from 1 species
CACGUAGGGUGCAAGCGUUGUCCGGAUUCAUUGGGCGUAAAGGGCUAGUAGGCGGCUUAGCAAGUCGGGUGUGAAAACUUCAGGCUCAACCUGGAGCUGCCAUCCGAUACUGCUAUGGCUAGAGUCCGGUAGGGGACCACGGAAUUCCUGGUGUAGCGGUGAAAUGCGCAGAUAUCGGGAAGAACACCCGUGGCGAAGGCGGUUCUCUGGGACGGUACUGACGCUGAGACGCGAAAGCGUGGGGAGCGAACAGG